AAUUCCUUAUAAUCCCACAGCAUAUCAUUCACUUUCGAUAUGACUUUCAUUUCUCGUAAACCCUCUUUCCUUUCGUCUGUAAUAAUUACAGAUAACUCACCGGGAUUUCCCCACAACGUUAGUAUAAAUAGGCUACAACGUGUUCCCAUUCCCAUUGUCAGUGAACCAUGCGCUAUGGCACCAAUACGCACGCACGCACGCACGCACACACGCACGGCGGCUGGACAGAGUUUUAAUCUGAUUGUAUCUCAGCGAACCAGCGAAUAUCGACGGAUUCGUCGCUCAGGACUUCGAAGUACUUUUCUACGUCACUCUGGAUUAAGGAUUCUGCCAAAUGUCGUAAAUGUAAACUUAAAAGUGAUUUUUUUUAAGCCGUCCUAUGAGAUCCUGAUUCAAACCUCUCACACCUUCUCAGCCAGAUGUUUGUUAGAACAUACACACUUCAUGUAGCUCAGAAAUAAGAUCCUUCUGAUCUGUUCCUUCCCUUUGAUUCCUACUUAUUUUCUGAACACUGCAACUUUUACACGAGGGAAGGACGAGGUGAGGAACGCACGAGAGUAAAGCUUUUAAUCUGAAGACUCUUUUUAAAGAAAACAUCUGCACUUUUUUUUAUAGGUACACUGGUGAACAGACCUAUGGGAUGUUGUUGUGUCUGUGAGUCUGAUCUAAAAUGAGUCAGGAAUCUGAUGAAAUUCUACAAAUUCUUAAAGUCCUGAGUGUCUACUUUCAUAAGAGCUUCAUAUUAAAGACCAGCGUGGAGUGAGACGUGAGGAAGACGUUCAGUCAUCAACAUGAACGCGAGACAAACAGGAGGAAAUAAUAUAUUUUAAGAGUCUUGGAAACAUCUGUUUUGUUAUGUUGUCAAGGUUACACAAGGACACAAGGACAAGUGAGUGCAAUGAAGUCAUAAUUAGAUUAAUGAGAUUAAUUAAUGCAUAAUAAGAUUGUGUAUUUGUGUACGAACAGGAAGUGACUUGUGUACGUGAAUGUAAAGCUUUGUGAAAGAGAGAAAAACACAAACACAUAUGCACACACAAACACACACCCACACAAACACACACAAAUGCACACACAAAAACACAAACACACAGACAAACAUACACACACACAAACACACACAAAUGCACACACGAAAACACAAACACACAGACACACAAACACACACAAAUGCACACACGGAAACCCAAAGACACAUGCACACACAAACACACGCACACACACAUAUGCACACACACAAACACACACACACACAAACCCAAAGACACACGCACACACAAAUGCACACACAAACACACACCCACACAAACACACACAAACGCACAAACAAACACAUACAAACACACAGACACACACACAAAUGCACACACAAAAACACACACACAAAUGCAGACACACAGACACAAACACACAGACACACAAAUGCACACACGAAACACCCACACAAUGCAGACACACACAAACACACACACACAAACACACAGACACACACAAACACAAAUGCACACACGAGAACACCCACACAAAUGCAGACAAACACACAGACACACAAACACACACAAACACACACACUUUUACACACUGAUAGCUAAUACAAUGAGUUUUUUAUAGUUUGUGACAUAAAUAAAUGAGGACAGGGUGAAACGAGGCUGUGAGAGAAUCUCAUCAUCUCUUUUCUUUCAUUUGUUUAUUUUACAAAGAAUUCUGUAAACAUUAAGGACAGAUUUAGUCUUUUUCUUUUUUACUCUCCUGACAUGCUGAUAAAUUUCAGUCAUUUAACUCCUAAACAAAGGAGCGUUGUGUCUGAAAUUGUCUCGUCAUCUACUUUUCCAUCACGUGUUAAACUGUUAUGUGUGCUACUUAAAUCCAGGCUUCUUCUCCCACCGUUCUGUAUCAUCUCAAGUAGUAAAUAUUGGUGAAUGUUUCACUGUACUGAGAGUCUCGGAGACUCCGAUGCAGCUCGUGACGACAACCGCGAAGAGAGCAGGAGGUUUUAAUAGAGACAGAACUCAUCUUUGAGUUUAACAUCGUUUCAUCAACACUGAACCUUCUCUAAUAGCUGACAGAGCAGACGGAUGUUUGCUGAUGGAUGUUGCUUUGCGACAAACACACGGAUCGUAACGAGUUCCGAAAAUGAGUGAAAAGUGUAAAAGAACUGACUUAUAAGGACUUAAUAAACAGUAUGAACUCAGUGA